rnacentral:sRNA from 1 species
AACCACCUGCUAUGCAGGUGUGUUCAGAAAAGCUUUUAGCGAUGAUUAUGACAAAAAAGACCUCCUUUUGAUACAAUAGAAAAGGUUUCGUCAGCCAAUCUAAAGAACAAAAGGAG